rnacentral:rRNA from 1 species
GUGGGGAAUAUUGGACAAUGGGCGAAAGCCUGAUCCAGCCAUGCCGCGUGUGUGAAGAAGGUCUUCGGAUUGUAAAGCACUUUAAGUUGGGAGGAAGGGCAGUAAGUUAAUACCUUGCUGUUUUGACGUUACCGACAGAAUAAGCACCGGCUAACUCUGUGCCAGCAGCCGCGGUAAUACAGAGGGUGCAAGCGUUAAUCGGAAUUACUGGGCAUAAAGCGCGCGUAGGUGGUUCGUUAAGUUGGAUGUGAAAGCCCCGGGCUCAACCUGGGAACUGCAUCCGAAACUGGCGAGCUAGAGUACGGUAGAGGGUGGUGGAAUUUCCUGUGUAGCGGUGAAAUGCGUAGAUAUAGGAAGGAACACCAGUGGCGAAGGCGACCACCUGGACUGAUACUGACACUGAGGUGCGAAAGCGUGGGGAGCAAACAGGAUUAGAAACCCUGGUAGUCC